rnacentral:rRNA from 1 species
GGCUCAGGAUGAACGCUAGCGGCAGGCUUAAUACAUGCAAGUCGUGGGGCAGCGCAGUGUAGCAAUACAUGGGCGGCGACCGGCAAACGGGUGCGGAACACGUACACAACCUUCCUACAAGUGGGGAAUAGCCCAGAGAAAUUUGGAUUAAUACCCCGUAACAUAUAAAGAUGGCAUCAUUUUAUAUUAUAGCUACGGCGCUUGUUGAUGGGUGUGCGGCUGAUUAGGUAGUUGGCGGGGUAAUGGCCCACCAAGCCUGCGAUCAGUAGCUGAUGUGAGAGCAUGAUCAGCCACACGGGCACUGAGACACGGGCCCGACUCCUACGGGAGGCAGCAGUAAGGAAUAUUGGACAAUGGGCGCAAGCCUGAUCCAGCCAUGCCGCGUGAAGGAUUAAGGUCCUCUGGAUUGUAAACUUCUUUUAUAAGGGACGAAAAAGGGAAUUCUUUCUCACUUGACGGUACCUUAUGAAUAAGCACCGGCUAACUCCGUG